rnacentral:rRNA from 1 species
UGCCAGCCGCCGCGGUAAUACGGAGGGUGCAAGCGUUGUUCGGAAUUAUUGGGCGUAAAGCGCGUGUAGGCGGUUCGUUAAGUCUGAUGUGAAAGCCCGGGGCUCAACCCCGGAAGUGCAUUGGAAACUGUGAGACUAGAAUCAGUGAGGGGUAACCGGAAUUCCUUGUGUAGGGGUGAAAUCUGUUGAUAUAAGGAAGAACACCGAUGGCGAAGGCAGGUUACUGGCGCAUGAUUGACGCUGAUGUGCGAAAGCGUAGGGAGCGAACAGGAUUAGAUA